rnacentral:rRNA from 1 species
UACGGGGGGGGCAAGCGUUGUUCGGAAUUACUGGGCGUAAAGGGCCAGUAGGCGGCCAACUAAGUCGGAUGUGAAAUCCCCAGGCUUAACCUGGGAACUGCAUCCGAUACUGGAUGGCUUGAAUUCGGGAGAGGGAUGCAGAAUUCCAGGUGUAGCGGUGAAAUGCGUAGAUAUCUGGAGGAAUACCGGUGGCGAAGGCGGCUCUCUGGACCGACACUGACGCUGAGGCGCGAAAGCGUGGGGAGCAAACAGG